CACUGGAAUGACAGCAAGAUAGACUCUAUCUGCGAAGCUGUGCCUGUCCACAGGGUUCUUGGAAAUUCUAAAUUAUGAUUGUAUUAGCAGUGUGACUUUUGGAGUUGAUGAAUUGUAUUCGUUCCCUAAGAAAGAAGGUGUUGCUAGUAUGGAUAGAUUUAUUGCUUUAUUUCAAUAGCAGCCAUAAGCAAAAGAGCUAUUAGGGCUCUAUUGUUAGACAAUGGAUCACGUUUUUUGUAGAAAUUAAGCAGGAAUAGUCAGCAUGGCCAUCUAACAAUAGGGCUACUUGUUCACAUCCAAGGAACUGCUGGCUUGACUCUGUCCUGUUCCCUUCCAGGCACAACAUCAUGGUGAAUUUCUACGGAGGCAAUCAUUGUAACCCCUGGGAGAGAAAGAAGAAAUAAUGGUUAAUCCACUACUGCACAGAGUCUGAAAUGCAGGUGUACAGCAGUGCUGAUAAAAGACCAAAACAGCAUCCUGUCAGUCAGUCCUUGUCUUUGCUGCCUCAGUCAUCUCUUCAGCCUCUGGAUCAAGUACCUGACACCCCAACCUUACUUCUGGAAACGCUUUAAAAGCAGAUGUUCUAAAAGCUCCUGCUGGGUAAUGCUGACUAGUGCUCUAAGCAUAAGUCCCAGGCAGGAGGGUGAAAAGACGGCAUUGGAGGCAGGUUCCAGAAGGUGAAAAGCUAAGGUACUUAUGCACUGUGCAGCUUUAAUAAUUGAUAGAAGUAGUUAAAACAUAGCUCUUGAAUGACUGUGCAGGGUGGUGAAGAAUAUUUUUCCCCAGUUGGGCCCCUCACCAUAUGUACAGUAUUAUUACUGUAACUGUAUUGUACCAUAUAAAUGAAUGAUUUAUGUAGUGAUUUAUCCACUCUACCAUGACUGUGUGACCAAUCUCUAUUACUAGAUCAUAUUCAAACCCUUACAAUGGCAAUAUAUGCAACUUUGUAUUCCGGAGCAUUACCUGCUCUUUAAGCAAUAAGACCCGAUAGGGCAUAUAUUAUUGGCCACUAGAGCGUGCCUUCACGCGUUCAUUAAGUGCAAGGCAGGAGACAGAAUGCUGG
rnacentral:lncRNA from 1 species